rnacentral:rRNA from 1 species
AGUGAACGCUGGCGGUAGGCCUAACACAUGCAAGUCGAACGGCAGCACAGUAAGAGCUUGCCCUUACGGGUGGCGAGUGGCGGACGGGUGAGGAAUACAUCGGAAUCUACUUUUUCGUGGGGGAUAUCGUAGGGAAACUUACGCUAAUACCGCAUACGACCUACGGGUGAAAGCAGGGGAUCUUCGGACCUUGCGCGAUUGAAUGAGCCGAUGUCGGAUUAGCUAGUUGGCGGGGUAAAGGCCCACCAAGGCGACGAUCCGUAGCUGGUCUGAGAGGAUGAUCAGCCACACUGGAACUGAGACACGGUCCAGACUCCUACGGGAGGCAGCAGUGGGGAAUAUUGGACAAUGGGCGCAAGCCUGAUCCAGCCAUACCGCGUGGGUGAAGAAGGCCUUCGGGUUGUAAAGCCCUUUUGUUGGGAAAGAAAAGCAGCAGGUUAAUACCCCGCUGUUCUGACGGUACCCAAAGAAUAAGCACCGGCUAACUUCGUG